rnacentral:rRNA from 1 species
UACGGAGGGUGCGAGCGUUGUCCGGAAUCACUGGGCGUAAAGGGCGCGUAGGCGGCCUGAUAAGUAGGGGGUGAAAUCCUGCGGCUUAACCGCAGGGCUGCCUUCUAAACUGUCAGGCUAGAGCACAGUAGAGGCAGGUGGAAUUCCCGGUGUAGCGGUGGAAUACGUAGAGAUUGGGAAGAACACCAGUGGCGAAGGCGGCUAUCUGGACGGUUUCUGACACUAAGACUCGAAAGCGUGGGGAGCAAACAGG